rnacentral:piRNA from 1 species
UGAUUUGCCCCCAANAUGUGAAGCUUAUGGU